CCUGAUCGGGGUUGCGGACAGUGUCUGGUGGGUAGUUUGACUGGGGCGGUCUCCUCCUAAAGAGUAACGGAGGAGCACGAAGGUUGGCUAAUCCUGGUCGGACAUCAGGAGGUUAGUGCAAUGGCAUAAGCCAGCUUGACUGCGAGCGUGACGGCGCGAGCAGGUGCGAAAGCAGGUCAUAGUGAUCCGGUGGUUCUGAAUGGAAGGGCCAUCGCUCAACGGAUAAAAGGUACUCCGGGGAUAACAGGCUGAUACCGCCCAAGAGUUCAUAUCGACGGCGGUGUUUGGCACCUCGAUGUCGGCUCAUCACAUCCUGGGGCUGAAGUAGGUCCCAAGGGUAUGGCUGUUCGCCAUUUAAAGUGGUACGCGAGCUGGGUUUAGAACGUCGUGAGACAGUUCGGUCCCUAUCUGCCGUGGGCGCUGGAGAACUGAGGGGGGCUGCUCCUAGUACGAGAGGACCGGAGUGGACGCAUCACUGGUGUUCGGGUUGUCAUGCCAAUGGCACUGCCCGGUAGCUAAAUGCGGAAGAGAUAAGUGCUGAAAGCAUCUAAGCACGAAACUUGCCCCGAGAUGAGUUCUCCCUGACUCCUUGAGAGUCCUGAAGGAACGUUGAAGACGACGACGUUGAUAGGCCGGGUGUGUAAGCGCAGCGAUGCGUUGAGCUAACCGGUACUAAUGAACCGUGAG
rnacentral:rRNA from 1 species